CCUACGGGAGGCAGCAGUAGGGAAUCUUUCACAAUGGGCGAAAGCCUGAUGGAGCAACGCCGCGUGCAGGAUGAAGGCCUUCGGGUUGUAAACUGCUUUUAUAAGCGAGAAAUAUGAUGGUAACUUAUGAAUAAGUAUCGGCUAACUACGUGCCAGCAGCCGCGGUCAUACGUAGGAUCCGAGCAUUAUCCGGAGUGACUGGGUGUAAAGAGUUGCGUAGGUGGCAUAAUAAGUAGCUAGUGAAAUCUGGUGGCUCAACCAUUCAGACUAUUAGCUAAACUGUUAAGCUCGAGACCGUUAGGGGUAACUGGAAUUUCUAGUGUAGGAGUGAAAUCCGUAGAUAUUAGAAGGAACACCAAUAGCGUAGGCAGGUUGCUGGGACGGUUCUGACACUAAGGCACGAAAGCGUAGGGAGCAAACGGGAUUAGAUACCCGUGUAGUC
rnacentral:rRNA from 1 species